rnacentral:rRNA from 1 species
AGCGAACGUUAGCGGCGGGCCUAACACAUGCAAGUCGAGCGAGAAAGGGGCUUCGGCCCUGAGUAAAGCGGCGGACGGGUGAGUAACACGUAGGUAAUCUUCCUUCGAGCGGGGGACAACGGCCCGAAAGGACCGCUAAUACCGCGUCCGUUCCCGAGGACCCUGGGCCUUGGGGGGCACGCUAGGGUGCAAGCUCCGGCACCCGGAGAGGAGCCGGCGUCGCAUCAGCUAGGUGGUGGGGUAAUGGCCUACCAAGGCGAAGACGCGUAGCUGGUCUGAGAGGAUGAUCAGCCACACUGGGACUGAGACACGGCCCAGACUCCUACGGGAGGCAGCAGUGGGGAAUAUUGGACAAUGGGCGCAAGCCUGAUCCAGCCACGCCGCGUGAGUGAUGAAGGCCUUCGGGUCGUAAAGCUCUGUGGGGAGGGACGAACCGCUGCACGUGCAUAGCGUGCAGCAUGACGGUACCUCCUUAGCAAGCACCGGCUAACUUCGUGCCAGCCGCCGCAGCAA